GUUUCAGUACAGUGUCUCAGAGCAGGCUGGAAGAACAAGAGAGAAUAAAGCCAAGAUCCAGCAUAUCAUGUCAUUCAUGGGGAUCUCACGUAGAAUUGGAGCACCUGAGCCCCCUCCCUGCAUCUGGUGCAGACGGUGCCCAGAGGAGCGGCCAGAAGUGCUGGGAAUGGACUAGAGGCAUAGAAGCAGUGUGCUGAGCCUUUGGAGUGGAAGCAUUACAGGUGCUUUUUCAAGGAGCUACAGCACCAUCAGGAGAGGAGGAGCCAUUGUGAGACGUGAGAAACGCAUACAACUCUUCCAAGCUUUGGUCUUCUCACCUGUAUGAUGGAAAGGUAUUUUUGUGUCGUGGACUUUCACAGUAAUCAAUAAUUGUUUAUUGUGUUUAUUAAAUAAUGCAUCCUUGUGCUUCCCACCCCAAACCAAAGCACAGGUGAGGCUGUGCCCUGCCCUGCUCCCAGCUCUCAGCACAGCAGGCAUGUGGGCUGCAGACUUGGGGGAAUUAAUGAUUAACCCCAGGCUGAAUUCUGAACAGAGCUGUGGAGGUAGGAGAAGACAAUCCAAGCUCACGUGCUGGCUGCUGAAUGAGAACUCAUGAAUUUCCCUGUUCCAGAUUUAUCACAGCAUUAGGUUGGUGGUUGGAAUGAAUAAUGGUAAGGGGUUUUUUCCAGUCUAAAUGGUUCUAUGGUUCCAUAGCAGGGCCAUCUUUCAGCACUGAUGGUUGGACUAGAUGGUCUUAGUGGUCUUUUCCAACCUCUAUGACUCCAUGAUUACUGAGCACCUGCAGUCCUGCUUGGGAGUAGCAGCAAAGGCACGAGCUCAGUGGCUCAGAAGGGGAAAGAUUGUGCAAUUGUGGGGAAAGGAGGUUGGCCCAAAGCCCAGUGAACCUUCCAUGGGUUUCAACUGGCUUUGUGUUGGUGCUCUGAGAAAACUGGGAAUGCUUCCUCGAAAAUGUACUCCUUCCCUCUGCUGCUUUAUUGGUAUUGCUUUGUGUUUGUGCUGACCCAUUCCUGACAUCGUGCUCUUGUUCUGAUUCAGAGCUGUGAUUUAAGAAGGGACAAGUGGCUCCGGCCAAAUCCAGCCCCUGAGGUGUGGCAGCGGCAGAAAGAAAGGUGGGAAAGAAAGAAAGCAAACAGCUCUUGUGUGUGACCGUGGCCAAUUACCUGCUGGUAGGCGUCAAGGAGGACAGAGCACAGUCUGCUCACCUUUUCCACAAAUAGACUGAGGGCUCCACCUGAGCACAUUUCAGCCCCUUCCCUCCUGACACCUCUGCAGCCCUCCAUCUCCCACCCAGAUGAGCACGAACUCCUUUCCUGUUUCCCUGGCUUUUCCCGUUUAUUGGCAUGACCUGUCCUCAGCACAGCAUCCGAGGUGGGCCCUGCAACCUACCCUGGUCCCCAGGCUUGCAGAAGACCUGCCAGGUCCUUUGUGGGCAGACCACAGGGAGCCCACUGCAUUUUUCUUUUCCAGUUGGCCGUGCUGUGGAUGGCUCUUUGCUGCUGCAGGUGCUUGGCUGCAAGAGGCACACAAAACCCACUUCUGUUCUGGAGCUCUGUGCAGCAGAUGGCUUUGUGAAGAACAAAGCAGAGGGCUGCUUGCAAUGAAGGAGGAGUGUGCUUUGCUGAGUGCAGGAUGUUUGCUCUGCAGCUCAGGGGAACCAGCUGGUAAUGCUGCAGAAGCUCUGCAUUUGGUGGCCAUGGGAGAGAAGUGACACCGGGCUGCGUGGAAGCCCUGUGAACAUUCUGCUUCAACUAAAGCAGGAAUGGUGCAGGCAGGAGGAACAGCUCUUCACUUUUCUGCCCGCUGGACUCUGCUAACCCACCUGCUUUUGCCCUGCACCAUUGCUGAUGCUGUUGCUGCAUCAAACCAGCAUAUUAUCCCAGUGAUGCAGCAACACAGCCUUGACCUGUGCCAGCCUCCAGCACUUCUUCCUAUCUCCCAGAAAGGCCACAGAGCCACUGAAAGCCCGAGGCUUGGCGACAAUGCCAUGUGCCAGGGAUAGGAGCCUUUGUGAGCACAGCCUUUGUUCUGUGCCACACCACAAAGCCCAGUAACGAUCAGCCUUUUUACCUGCCACCUGUUUGCUUUGCCUGUGUUAUAUUGUGCCAGGAAUAAAACCAGGAAGCAGCACCAGGCAAUAACUCACAGAAACCAGUGGGAGCUGGAGGAACCCAUCACAGGAGCACAGUGCUGGUUUCCUGCCAGCAGGGACGACUUCCAGAAUGCCUGCAAUAUUCAAGACGGACACGAAGAGGAGGGAAAAAGCAGUCCUUAAAGCAGAGUGCUGGGGCAACCUGAUGGCUGUUGGCUCUGUGUCAGCCUGGUUAUUUCUCCCUCUGCCUUGUGAGCUCUUCAAAACCCUGACAGGGCCCCAUCUGUUGCUGUGAGUUCCUUGCAAAGCGGGGCUACAAAAGCAGUUGCUUCGCACCAUCAGACAGGGCCAACUUUUCCUGCAUGUUGUCAAUCACCACUUGCACAAACCACAAGGGCCAUCCCACGGGCUGUGCUGAGAGCUAUUUGUGUUUUCUCACCACGGAGAGCAUUUAUUUGGCAUAGCCGGCUGUUUGGAACUGCUCACCCUGCCUCUUGCAGCUUCAGGUGAGGAAGAUCCCCUCGUUAUGCAUCUUAAUAAGAUGCUCAAUUAGCCCCUAUCAGCUCAGCUGGAUGCGUUGAUGGCCAGAGUGGGCUCAGCUGGUCACUCAAUAGCAAUAAGAGGCCAAAGGGAGUGGGUAGCCUCAAUGAGGAAUGGCUGUGUGCUUCACAAAUGGCUGUUUGCCUCUGAAUGAGGGGAAAAACGACUUCCAGCAUUUAUUUCCACCAACCCAGCAGCUCCCAACUUCUUGGCUGCUGUUAGGUAAGAGUUAAACACGUGCUAGCUCCCUUCGUUGAGCAUACUACUGUAGGCAGCUCAAGCUUCCUCUGGUCUUCUGCCUGUUGUCUGUAUUUACAAGCAGUGCCUUUGUUCCCAGCGGUUCUAGAGCAGCCCUGAUUCCAAGCCCUGCUUUAAGGAGAUAAAGGCCAAGGAGGAGGCAGCGAGCUGAGCUAACUUUGCAUCCCACUUUUGUCCCUGGCUCCCCAUAGUUAGAGCUCUUUCUCACGCGCUGCAAGUGUUUAUUGAAAGGGUAGGCUCACAGUCAUCAAAUAGCAGAUAGUGAAUAAUGAGUUAGGCUCGCACACAGAAAUCCAAAUGGGUUUGUUUAAAGUGGUGUUUGGUAUGCAAAUAAAAUUAGCAAUCCAAAUGAGGCUGCUUCUCUCCCCGGAGUGUUUGCUCAGCCUCUCCCUGGCGUUGGCUCCCAAUUGCAGGGAUCCAGGUAAUGGUUUAACACAGCCCAUUAAGUGAUUUGCCUUCGGACACUGAGAUUAAAGGGGAACCUUUCUCUGUAUCAGACCCUUUGGUUCCUCCAGACCCACCCUGAGCGCCCUGCUGGCCUCAGUAACCUGAAUUUAGGAGUCGUUUUGAUCUAGUUGGGGGGGGGGGGGGGGAGGAACCCACUGUUGUCUUGAAGAAGGCAGAUAGUUUGGUAAAAGUGAGUUAUUUCUUAAGGAACUUGCACUUGAGUCGAGCAAAACAAUCACAUUAAGCACUUGGAGUUUCUGCAGUGUAAAUGUCCUGAACUUUGCUCCCCAAUCAGUUCGGAUUGCAGCGGUUGUGCCAAGAGGUGCUGGUUAAAUUUACAGCCCUGGCAGCUCACCCCACCCACCUCCCCUGAAAUAAACUGACAGAGGGAAAAGUGCUUCUCCCAGAGGGGGCACGGAGCUUUAAUGGCACCCAGCAUCCUCAUAGCAUCCUGCAGGGAGCCUGGGGCUGCUUCUGGGCUGUGAGAUGCCCGUGCCAUACCCAGAGCAGUGCUUGGUGUUGGUUGGGCUUUCCCUAUGCUUACGGCUGAUGGGAGCUGUUUUUAACGAACCUAACUCCUUUAUUGCUCCGUGAUGAGUCACCGAGUACUUAGCGGAGUUCAAGCUGUUUUUCCAGUUAAAUGUUUUGAUUCACACAAAAUGCUGGGGAGUAAUUAACGCUUUUCCUUAACGCUUUUCCUUUGCCUUUUCUCAGCUGCCUUUUAGAAACCCCCGUUUUUAAGAUCCUUGGUUGCAGGAGGGGAGAGGAGAUGCUGAACUUGCUUUUAAGCGCACGCAUUGCCGUGGCAGUAGGUUAAACAUUAAUGUUGCUAAGUUAAAGCCAAAUGAGACGCCUGAAUACUUGGAGUCUACCACGAAGUCUCCUGGUUCUUUUCUCCUGCCAUUGUCUGAACAAGUUGUUUUCUGUGUGUGUCUGAGCCUUCCCAACGUAACGUGCAGGUCAUGCUUGGCAGUUUGACUGCAGUGCGUGCAGCGUGUUGAGAUGCACAGCACUCAUGGGCAUUCUGUAUGGCACUGUGAUGGCAAACACAGCCCGUUCUGGAGCCCUUCCUCAUGGUGAUGAGCAGCACUAGGAAGCAUCACCAGUGCGUAUGUGUGGUGGGAAGCAAGCACAGUUCUGUAUUGUUUCCAAAUAAGUCUUUUAUUAGAUGUAGAAUUCAAAGGCAUUUCUAGCAUAAGCUCCAGGGCAUUGAAAGAGCAAGUCCAGUAGUAUGUGGGACAGAACACAUGCAUUUAUGUGAUAGCAGCCAAUGAAACUUUCCUUCCUACUUCAGUGCAGAGAAUCUUGGAGCGUUUAUGGAUUCUAAUGAUAAAAAGCAGUGAAAAUAUUCAUCACUGUGAUUGCAGUAAGUAGUAAAAUAAACACGUGAACGUAGCAUUAAGGACUGUAGUUGUAUCUUCAUUCUCUUUGAGAAUGGGCUGUCCAUACUCACCCUUUGAAACCACCUAACCAGGACGUUGCGUUGCUUGUUUGUUUUUUGUUAUUACCUUCUUACCAAGAACCCGUUUUGUGAAGGGGGAGGUAGUUCUUGUUUUCACUUCUUUUAAAGAUAACCAGCAAAGGGCAGUGCUGCCAAAAGGUCAGGCUUGUUUCGUUUCAAGGAAAAUGCCUUAACUCCGAAAGGGCACUUGAGCACCAUAGAAAAACAGAAAUGGGAACCUCGAUAAGAAACUCCAGGUCCUCUGAAAUGUGGAGGGGUUGGAUGAGGAGGGCGCACAGAGGAAAGGAAAACAAGGAGUCCAGCAGCUGCAGUUCAUGGAUAGCACUGCAGUUGUAUGAAAUUGUCUUGAGGAGACACUGCAGCACAUCAAAGGAAGCAACAAGUUCCUGUCAAAGAGCUGUGCUAUGGAAGGGGUCGUUGCUUGUACCCUGCAAAAUGAGACUUGCCAGCAUGAGUCACGGUAAGCAGGACACAGAUACCAUCUGCACCGUCUGAGCAGUUUGGGGCAAGGAGAUUUCCUAAUGGGAAAUUCCUGACCAUUGAGUGAGACUGGACUGACUGAGAGAGCUGUGCCAUCCCGGUCCUCGUGCCUCAGGGUGCUGCUCAGGUGAGGUUGGCAAUGCAUCCUGCUGUGCUGCUCCGAAGUGCUGCUGCUGGCACAGCUUAUCGCCGCUCUCAAUGGGGGCAGAGCGAAUUUCGGCUGGUAGAGAACCAGAACACUCUUCAGGAAGCCCACCUUAUAGCUUGACCACAUCCCAAACCGAAGAUGUGCUGAACCUUUGCAGACCCCUUUUAUUAGCGGCACUUGGAAGAAGCACUUUUCUAUCGGCAUAAAGAUGAAGCAGCCCUUCUCUGAAGUAGUAGCAGGAUGGACCGAUCUGUCGUGAAGUUUUGCUCAGUUAACACAUUAUUUCCUAACAGAAGCAGCUGCUUAAACAGAGAGUGAAGUCAGAUGGCAAAAUGGCCUCAAGUCACCCGGAGGAACGUCUCUGUGCUGAGUCCUGGAGCACUCAGCCCAGCUGUGCUCACUCUGUCCCCAAGCAAUACUGACCUAUGACGGGUUGUCCUUCCUGCAGAAGGGCUUUUCUCACUGCUGCAGGGUUGGCACAGCUCUGCCCAUCACGUUUCAGAGAGACCUGAUAACGGGUCCAAAAGUCACCAACGUACACUGAGCUGCACAGGAGCCUGCCCUGCCUGCCUGCCCUGCCGACGUGCUAACCUAACCGCCCGCUCUUUGACUUUCCCCAUCUCCCUGCAUGUGUGUUACAGCUUCCAAGAUACAGCUUAAGACGAGCUUCCAGCCCAGGCACAAACCUCCUUGGUUCUUCCGACCCAAGCAAGCUUUUCUCUCCGUGCUUCUGUCAAGGCGAAGACUUUUGCCCAUGCGAUUGACGGCAUUACCAGACAGUAUUAGACAGAAAUAGCUAGAUCUAACUUUGCCUGGUAAGACAGCAAUCAGCAGGCGCUCAGGCUAAAGGAAACCAACGUUGAGAGCACUUCUUCCAGCUCCAGGGCUGAAGUGACGGGGCGGGGAAAGGCUGAGGGCCUCUCCCAUGGACACAUCAGUAACCAGUAAAUGUUUAACUUGAAGUACAGGCAGCACAAUCGUGAGAACACAACUGUUUGCAGUUCUCUGGCAUGAGAACUAAAAAAUACUGUAAAGAACUUGCUGAACUUACCACCGGCUCCAUCCUCCGUGUCCACGUUGCUGUGCAGCGCUCACCUUCCCCGUGUCCUGCAGCUCCAUCGCCCAGCAGGGAUGCAGAUGUGGUUCAGCUGCACCCCACAGCUGUGCUCUCAUCGAUAUUAAACCCCCAGGCAGAGUUAAGCCUAAUGCAGGCCGGGUCUUAGCUCUUCUACCGCAGUGAGCAUCAGGACUGCCCUUGGAAUUGCUCUGCUGUGGAACUGAGCUAAGCAAGCUGAACAUUGGUGGGAGAAGGGGAGGGAGGGGAAGAUAUUGAGGCCGAGGGGAUUUCGCUGGGUUGCUCCUGACUCCCAUGACUCACUGUUCUUGCCUAGAUAAGGCUGAGUGGACGCUUUCCUAGGCAUAAAUCAGCCUGGGGGAGGGCAGGGGAAUUUCCUUGGUUCCAUUCCUUUGUUAUUAACUUAAGGUGACAUCCCUGAGCAUGCCAGGGAUGCCCAAUUAUUGUUAUCUUCUUUUUUUUUUAAUCCAUCCAAGGUUAGCAUCCAUAUUGAGUUUUAAGAAGAGAAGAUGGAUGGGAGUUGGGUGCGUGCUCCAAUUCAUCUCAUUUAAAUGCUUGUUAAAAGCCAAUUUGCAGAAUCACUCAAAUUUCACACCAUUUCCUCAGUCCCUUGUGGGCCAGUUAAUAAGUCACACAGAGGCUAAUCACCAAAGAAUGCUCCUCUGCUCCCUCCUGCUCUCGUUUUCCUGGGAACUGCAAUGUGCAAGGGCAAGAGCACCUCUGUGGGAGCUGCCUUUGGUUUGUUUUUCUGCUGUUCCUGUAUUACACGGCAGUUUUGGUAUGGCAUCCUACUGGACAGGGUUGAAAGGCAUAGAGAAUUUUUUGCUUGCAUGCCUCUGGGCUGCUGUACCUGUUUUAUCCAGGAGGGAGGGAAGGGAUUAGCACUAAGCUGAGGAUGAGGAAAAGGUUUUAGUGCUGUGAUUCCAGCACAGAGCAGUCCUGUGAGCCUAUGUAAAGAGCUGUAGAGAGAAGCAUGGCCCAAGCCUGUGUGUAACGUUGCCCUACGUUUCUUACAGAAGGGAGCUGAAAAACAAUGGGUGCAGUUCUGAGCAACCAGCAUGAGGUCUGUGCACCAUCCCAAACCAGAGCGGGUCCCCAGGAACCCCAAAACUUGAAAGGCACCGACGAUCCUUGUGAAAGGGCUCACCCUGAGAUGAUUUCAUAGUUCUACAGGAAGAUGACCUUCUUAUAUUUGCGUUUACCCCUUAUUCUAUAGCCUGAAGCAUUUCAUCAUAAUUAUGUCAAAUCUCCCCAGCUGUGGGCAGUCAAUCACACUUGGGUUUAUCUAUUGGCCACUGACCUCCGCUUCCAAAUUCGCUGUUGAACUUUUCCACGUUGUGCACGAAACACCACAAUCAUCAUUACCAGGCAGUAUUAGAAAAACAGAGAACAUCCAAUGCUGCCCAGUAAGAUGGUAAUGGCAUCUCAGGAUCAUGGUCUACAAGCAGCAGAUAUAGCACAAGCUAGAAAGCCUUGCUGUUUGGAGAAGAAAAAAAGAGGAAGGAAAAAACAAAAAAAACAGGAAUACAACCUACAGCUGUCCUUCCUUUGGGAUCUCCUCAAUUAUCAAAUGCUGUCACUUACCAAGAAGGGUCCUCACUUCUAUUUUCACCUAAUGCAACGCGCCCAUCAGCUGCCAACUGUCACAAGAUGGGGGCUGGGCAGUUACAGCCCUACCUGCUACGGUGAGUUAAAAACGUGGGGAAAAGCAAAGCCUGGGAAGCAAUGCAACUGUACAGACUUAGGGAUAUAUAACUCUUACCUUUCUUGCAGUACCUCCAGCCGUGCAAGCUUUGUCUACGUUUUUAUUAUGCAACAGACAUUAAGAAACACACUGAGUUCUCAAGAAAAAUCUCUGCAGUAGCCAACAUUACUGCAGCUUCUCCUGCACAAAGAGGCUCAGCGUUGGCGUUGAGUACCUUUGCAAAGCCAAGACAAACGCCCCUUCCAUUGCAUUUUGAAGCCUGCUGGAGAUCUCAAAGCCUCAGGAAGGUGAGAGCCUUUGCCAGCCUCUCAGCAGCACUGCAACCACCCAACAUCAGAACUGAAAGGUGGAGAAAAUGAAGAGAAGAACAGCUGGACCAAAACAGGAUGAAAUGAUGGAGGAAGCCACUGUUGCAACUGGAAUCCCACGGGUUUAAGAUGUGUCCAUCUGUCAUGUUUUUCUGUACAUUACCUGAUAUAUUACAGGUAGGUCACUACACUGUAGGUCCUUGAACACCUCCUCAAGGUGUUUUUAAGAGAAAGUCAAGUCAAGUUUGCUGAUGCAAACAAGUUGCAUUGCAAGAGCUUUAACCCGAGACUGCCCUGCACGACUUCUCAAGUCUUGUGCUGUGGGCCAUGCCCCUGCAUUGGCAUUUAAAUAUAAGUACAGCUGUGGUUCCCUCUUCCAUUCUGACUUUCUAGGAAUAGCUAAAAAAAAAAAUGGGGAAUGGAGGAAGGGUUGGGAUCGCUUUUGCAUUUUGUGCUUAUUUUUUUCCUGUUAUUUCUAAGAAGACAGCACUGAACCCCAUUGGCCCCUUGCUGUUAGGUAAGUGUCAGGAAAGGUAAAGCUUCCCCGAGGCAGCCAGCAAACAGACAUGCUCCUCUUAACCAUUACAAAAGAAAGUGUCUUCUCUGUUUCAAUAACACGGCAUGGAGAAAGUCAACAAGAAGAACUGAACAAUAGCUCUUUGUCUGAAGUAGCCUAGAUGUCAUAGUUAGAAUAGAGGAUUUCCAGACAACAAAACCUUAGGCUGUGUUAACAGAUCUGGUUGCUAUGUAUCAAAACUGUGCUUGCUUGAUAUUAGAGCAAAAAUUUUCUUGAAUGACCACAGUUUAGUGAAUUUCCGUGAUGCUUGGUUAUAAUUAGGGGGAAAAAAACCUCAAUUACAUUAAUUUCAUGAACUGCUCUGAGAAGGAAGGGGAUCGAUCAUCAGACUCAAAGCUCGUAGCAAUGGGCUAUAGGACGAAUAUGCACUAUUAUGUGAUAUGCCUCAUCAUUUCAGGGGGUGUGAUGGAAUCACAUAUUUGUAUUUACAGACCUAUGGUGAGAUGAGGGGUGGCAAAAGCUGCAUCCUUGCAGAUUGUCUGCGCUCAGCUGGAAAAGGCCCCCAUCCACCCCUCUCACUGUGCAUCAGCAUACGUGGCCUUUACCAGCCCUGCUUUGUAUUUCUGAUGCCAUCUGAAGAUGCCAUUAGGACAACUCAAGUCAAUCAGCAUUUCAUUUAUGAUGCUCUGGGUUGAUUACCCAGCAGGAAAGGACAUUGGUGUGAGCCCUGUCAUUUUCUGAAGGUUCCAGGGAUGUUUUAAUCUGAUGCAGAAGAUCUUCAUCCGUGGCCCAGCUAUGGGGUAACAUUGCGAUUCCAAGAACAAAACUGCACAAGAGAUAUACCAGAAAUUCUGAGCUAACAACUCAAUGCUCCUGGGCUCAUUGGAUCUCUUCCAAUCCUGUUUCCUACAACUGAAACCUUUCAGCAAUCUCAGACGUUAUGCUGUGUAAGACACAUGUUCAAGCCAGAAGACGUGCACAUAAAUGCCAUGAAUGAGUUCCUCAAGAAGUAUAAAGUCCAAAUCUUGCCAAGAGAUUCAACAGGACACCUCUUUCUAUACUCAGAUGUACCAACUGGUGCUGCUGGUACCUGGGGAGUGGCAUUAUGUCAGAUCUCCCGUCCCUCCUGCUCGCCAGAGAUGGAGAACAUCCAGAAUGAAGAGGGUUGGUUCUCUCCACAACAGGUGUAAGCAAAGAGGAAAGUCAGAGGGAACAGGAAGUGAGGAAUAUUUUCAGGGCCACUUCUUUUGAGACCUUUUUCACCCUCCUGACUUUGACACACUUCCCAGUGAGGAAAAAGAAACUCCUUCAGGCCAAACUAGCUCUAAGCUUAUCUCCAGCUCUCACUAGAACUGCCCUUUCACUAAUGCUGCUCAGAAGGUCAAAGUUUCUUCCAUAAAGCAAGGUGAGCGCAUUGGAUGUGUUCAGGGCCACAGGAGCAAGGUGUGUGAGGGGAGCAAUGGCUGUGUUUCAUCAGCAGAGGUAGCAGCGUGGUGUUCAGGCAUUUCUCCAAGGACCUGGGGAGAGUUGUGGCUUUCCCCCUUCAUUCAAAGCUCCCUCAUUUCUUAUCCUCCUUGGAAAAAUAUUUUUUAAUUUAAAUCCUUUUCUUGACAUGCCAGCUCUUCUACUCUUCAUUCAUGCCACAUCAGGAAUAUCAGCCCAGAGCAGGAUUCGACUCCCAUUACUACUAAAGGACAGUAUUAUGCAGCCAGAUCUUGGAGCAGACCUGUGAAGCCAUGCAGCCCUUCCUGCACGCCUCUUUCAUAUCUAUUCUCUGUUCUCAAAAGUCCUGUGAUGCCCUAGACUGGGAUCCUGAAAGCCCUUGCAUUACCUAUGUUCCUUGUAACGUCCUCCAGUUCAGUUUCCACUAAAAACACAGGCUCUACUGGUGCGCAGCAUAUCAACAGAAUGUGUUGUUGGCACACUUUGUCAACGUGGCACUUCCAACGGAGCAGCAGACACCGCUUUCGCCACGCAUCAACCCAUGCUAUGCUGACGUCCUCAGCAGUCACUUCCACCACAACCAAACACCUGCGGAUUGAGCCAACCAGCAGAACACACCUGGAGUUAAACAGGAAAAAAAGCCCAGCCCACAAAAUUCUGCAACCCUGCAAGGUGUUCACGUACAAGCUGGGCAAUGGUAGCAUGCCAAGAUGACUACUACAAAGGUACAACUUCCUUAGCUACAUAAUGUAGUCCUAAUGCACAGUCCUCAUGCCUUGCUCUGGUGUUAAUCAUUAAUCAACCCAACAAUGGUUGGUGAAUUUCCGUGUUAAAACUUUUUGUCAUUUCUGACUUACUCAUCGGCACUGUGUGAUGGAAAUGGGAGGUUUUGUGGGGAAGAAAAGAAGAUCUAACACUCUAGAAGACAAAAAAUGUGAAAUAAUCUCCAAGACCACCCAUUAAAAUAACAGCAGUCUGCUUGGUUUGCCUAAGAGCUGCCACUAAUGGGAUGCAGAGCAAAAGGAGGAACCUUUGUGUUUUCUUCUACCCAAUAGUGCAUCUAUUUCACCUCUUUUCCUCCUUAGUACCAUUGGAGAAUCUUCACAUGGGAAGCAAGUUUCAAAAGUGAAUUAUAGAGAACAAAUUCAAAGGAAAUAUAUGCUUCAUAAAAAUGUGGGGAUUUUGUGGCUGCAUUGGCAGUCAGAGGGCCAACAUCAAACUCAAGGCGAUGUAUAUCCAUAAUACCAGAAACAGCUAAAGAGGUUACACAGUUCUUAUCAUCCUAAAUCUGAGACCCAAAAAUUAACUGUAGCUAUAUCAUGGAUUUAAUACCUGGGGUAGCUGCUACUGUAGAAGUUUAAUAGCAAGAAAUAGCAACGAGUUAGGAAAAUGAUUUGAUAAAAACUGGCUGAAAUGGUUCACUGCAGUUUUGUGUGAUAUUCUGAUAAAUGCAUUUGGGUCUUCACUUUAGCAUGCGCCAACCUGUCUGCAGGACAGAGAGAACAUUCACAGUUCUUCUUCUAUACCACAGGAGCUGCCAGGAAUUGACCGUGGUUGGAAUGCACACCACAGCUAUCUGCUCCAGCCAACACGGUGCUCACAGUGAGCAGCUAUGGGGCCAGAGCCCCCAGAAGGCACAGCCCAAAUUUCGGAAGAAUUAGGGAUUCCGUGACUAGCUCAACAUAUAAAAUCCCACGCAUUUUUUCCUAUCUAGUUCACAAAAUACAAAUAGGUUGUUAGGAACAGAUAGCCUACUUCUGCCACACGGUACUAAUAAGCUAACAGAUUUCAGCUCGUUUUUCCUGUCUGCUUUAGAGAGACUUACUUAGUUCCUAUAGAGUACAUGCGUUAUUUGCAUUUACCAAAAAAUGGUGCGAGCCAUCGCAGCAGCUCGCUGCUUACAUUGCCAUUGCAACAAGCGAUUGCUAAGAGUUAGGAGAACUUCUUGUUCUGCAGAAGACAGCGCCUUUCUUUAGCGCACGCAAGGCAACGUGGUGACAGCACAAAAUUAAAUGCUUUGUCUCGAGAGAACAGCGCUGACUUAUAACAGCAGAAGCAGGACAAGGCUGAGAUGUAUCAUCGAAAAUAAAUAUAUCUCCAAGGCGAUUAAUCUACUGUGUAUCCGAUAUACUGAGAAACAAAUCCUCCCUCCUUCUCCCCUGGAUAGUAUUUUCCAGGUGGGCCCAAGCACUUUGGUCAUACCCAGGAUCUUUCGGAAGCAACAGGUCACGGAGAGAAGGGACGAGAAAGGUGGGAGAGGAAGGGAAGCGCGGAGGAAGGCGGUUGGAGCCUUACCGUUGUGAAACAGCCGGGAGCAAAACGCAAAGCAACGCAACGCGGUCCAAAGGAGAACCCAAAACAAAAAUCCAAACCAGCACCGAAAAACCCCAAAUGCCCCAUCUCGUUUUUCUGAGCCCUCAAUACAGUGCUUUCUCCAGCUAUGCGGUACCCAUGAAAUAUAAAACCACCCUAAUGGUCGCCCAGGUUACCGACUUCAUUUAGUUAAUCAUCACCACUAUUACCAAUGUUCAGGCCUUGAGAAAAAAAGGAAAGAAUGACUGAAGAGGAGUGGAAAACAAGAAACUUAAGUGAGUCCCACCCCCUUUUAUUUUGUAUUACUUUACACAUCGGGAGCAAUUAGGUUUGUACCUGCUUUACCUUGAUUUCUCCUCCCCUUUUCUGCUCCCUACCGCCUCCCGCACUUGCUUCUCAAAGUUCCCCCAGCCCUAAAACAAUGGGGUAUCCAUUAAUCGGGUAUCAGAUAUGCCAGGGGGGACACGGAGGUGCCCGGCUUUGCCCGGGCAGCUGCAGGUCUGGAAAGGAAUGCAGCUCCAGUGGGGGGAAAAAUUACUUGUUGGUUAACCUGCAGGGUGAGCCUUAAUCAAUAGGCACGGACGAUGAAAAGAACAAAGCAUGUGAAACUUAAGCCUUUAUAUCUUGAGCUCCAUCAGAUAAAAGCUGUACCUGGAGCUGGAAAGGACAGCCAGGCUUAGCUGGGAGCUUAAACGCAUCAGCGCGAUCCAGGUUGUUUCAGGAGUUCACUUGGCUUAUUGACUGCCGUUCCCUUCCGCCACCACCAAAGAUUAAAACACAAAAGUAAGCCUCUAAUGCCGACUUAUCAGACUCUUAACGACAGAGCCCUCAAAAGAAAAACUAAUUAAUGCGAAAUGCGCGUCUCGAUCGUGACGUGUGAUUUCCUCAGGCCACUUUCCCCUGCCCGAAAUAUGAUUAAGGACAGGAAGAAAGCCCUGUUUCCUACGUGUGCAAACCUCCACACAAAAGGGGAAGCCUAGCAGAGUUCUUACAGUUCUAUGGCUAUCUCAUGGGAGCGACUUCCAAAGGCUACCAUCAGCUGGGAGAAGAUAUAGGCAAGAAUAAAAAAUAAAAGUCAAGAAUUAGACGCAGUGAAACGGAGGGGUGAGUAAUCUAGAAGCAUUUCCUGCAAUUUUGACAAUUUUUUUUUAGAAAUUAAAGACGUUUUAGAAAACAAACAAAUCUGGGAGUAUUCAGUCAAGGCAGGCUCAGCUCCCUGGCUGGACAAGCCCCAUCCCCUGGCACCGGCUGGCCCAGCUCAGUGCCUCACAGAACCUUCUCGAAGGCCGUUUGACUGGAGGGGUGGAGGGACCGCGUGAGCAAACAUUUUCUGCUGACUGCAAAGUGUCUGCAAAGCCAGCCCAGCGCCUCUUCCUGAACCGGGUGGCUGCAUUGCACACGGAGCCUGCUUGCUUACAAAACACCUCUCUCUCCUCAUCCAAGUUUACCACGUCAACAGCAUCGCCCGCCAGCUGCCAGCCCAACGAGGAGCCAAAAAGGAGCUUUUUGGGUGCCUCCAUCUUCCUGUCUGUGGGAGCACCUCACCAGGCAGCCAAGCGCUUUGUUUUGUCUCCUGCUCCCCGGUGUCCGAGCAGGCAGUGCAAGCAGGGGCUGGUUGGGUUGGCACCGGGCCCUCUGCAGCAAGAGCGAGGAGCCCUAAUGGUGCUCGUUUGGUCGUGCACGCACACAUGAAAAAGCCUCGGGUAAGAAAAGAAUAAACAAAACCAACCCAAAAUGGCUUCUCCGUGCCAUGAGCGGAAACCGAUGGGUGAGGCAGAGAGAGACCUUCCCUUCGCUUCCACCUCAACUAGGUGGUCUGAAAAGUUCCAAAUCUCCUUCCUCCACUUGCAGCGCAGAAGCUGAGGAAUUAAUUCUGGCUCCCAAGAUCCCACAAACAUACGGCUAAAACAAGAGGGUCGGACGUUUUGUAAUUGCAACAAAAUGCAUUAAGAUGGCAGCUGAUUUAGAAUCUAAUUGAAAAAAUGGCAAUCACCACAAAGAAAAGCAAAAGGAGCCCAUAGCGUGCUGCAUUUCAAAGGUCACUGUUAGCACUGCCCAAGCUGGGUCCUCGCUGAAAUGCAGUGAGUCUGCUUGGAUGGAUCUCCCUAGUUUUAUACCAUCACUUUUCAGUUGCCGUAAGCCUUCUCAGAUGGAGUCUUUUUUCCAAGCUCUCCAGGACACCUGGGUGAAACUGGCUUUCCCCCAUGGCUCCCUCCUAUUUGGUUUCUUGGUUCUGCUCUGCCUGCCCUGACUGGUUUGGCUGGUUGGAAAAUGAACGCCGGAUUCAUGCGCCGCUCCCCCUCCCCCAGAACUGAGCAGACAAAACCUGAUCCCGACAACAAAACCCUCUUUAAUCCACCUGGGGAGAAAAGGAGGAAGAGAAAAGAGGACAGAGCCCUGCGAAAAAGUGAAGUGGAGAGGACGAACACAGGUAUGAAAAGCACUGAAGAAGUCAUGCCGCAUGCUACUCAGAUCAUUGCUACCACAGUACCUGGACACCGUGGCUUACCAGUACCAUGAACACACACACCAUUCAUGCAACUUCGGUGCUGAACGCACAGCACCUUUUCCCAAACCAAGAUCGCCAGCCUUCGAGAGGGCAACCAAAGGGACGCAGUGAGCAUCGCGGGUGCACAGCAGGGCUUCCAACCUUCCCGUGUCCUGGAAAAGAUGAACUUGGAGCGAGAGGCGUUCGCAGCGGAGGGAGGAAAAAAAAAUAAAUAAAAAUCGAACCAAACCUGAAAAAAAAAAAACAAAAAACCAACACAACUCAAAGUGGUAUCAGCCUACCGAAACCUAACCAAACUAAAAAAGAAAAUAAAAUAGGAAAGCAAAAGGAUUAAACCACGCGUGGUUUUCUUCGCAGCCCAGAGCUCUGCUGCUUGUUUAAGCUGGAAUUGAGAAGAGACGGCGAGUGUCUACGGGCUCGUCUUACAUGUAGUCCUUCACCCCUCCCUGCGCAGGUGCAUUCCUUGCGCCCAGCCAAUCUGCGGCCGCUGGCCCCCAACAGGUGUGUCCUCCGCGGGGAGCGGCCGGCUGAGCCUCAGCCCUGUGCCGAGGCGGCCUCUCCGGGGGCACUCAGCCUCCCCACUGCUGUCUUGAACAAAGAAUCGAUUAUUUACGAAGCGUGGGCUCCGACCUGGUGCUCCUGCUCCACCUCGUGCUCCUCCCAGGCGCCCCAAAUGUUGGCGUGAUGUGGUGCUACCGGUUCGGUGCUGGGAAAUAUUGCAGGGCUGUUUGUCAACCUGUUGAAUGAGAAAUGUGAUUAUUUAACUGAAACCCACCUGGGUCACCUCACCUGCAGCAGCAGAGCGUCGGUGGGUUGCUGAUUGCUUUCCCAAGCGAAGGAUGUAACAUGCACAGGGGCAACCUAAGGCACAAAGAGGUGCAAGGACUUUCUGUAGGACACAGCCAUGACUUUGCUGGUGAAUCCCCAAGGGCUGAUUAUUUCUUCAUCUUUGAAAACAGCAGCUUGGAUCCCACCAUCGUCUAGUCUUGGCACACAGAGUAAUCACAUAAACUAACAAGGAAUCCGACCAGAAUUCCACUGCCCUGCUAUGCAGGCUAGCAAUAGCAGAGGCCCACAGCUGGAUUCAUAAAAUCACAGAAUGGCUUCGGUUGGAAGGGGCCUUAAAGAUCAUGCAGCUCCAACCAAGGGUGCCAAACACCAGAUCAGGCUGCCCAUGGCCCCAUCCAACCUAUCCUUGAAUUCCUACGUCCUUCCAGGAGUACCAUGACCGAAAACCCAACAAUCUCAGCACAGGUCAGCUCGGACUGCUGGUAUUCACUCCUAGAUCUGUCAGAUAGAAAUUCUAUUCUCAGUGCUGACAAACAUCCCUGUUUCCCCUUCCCUGCACAGAAUGCUACUGAGAUGCUGGCAAGUGGAGUCUGUUCCACGACAUAACCUUGUUUUGAAAGUGUCGAGGGAUGUGCAAAAAGGGUUUACAAGAUUAGGACUGAUGCUCAUGAUUGGUAACAGCACUUAAAACAAAGCCAAACAGUGUCUUUCUAUGUAGCACUUUUAGCCCCUUUCAAGGAAGUUUUCCCUAAAUUCUCAGCAGUGUCAUGAAAAAAAAGAAAAACAAGUGAAAUGUUUUCUCCUUGUUAUGAAGGAAGCACUCAUAUUUCCCAUGAAAGAUGUAGCUAAUGAAACAACACAUUAUCAUGUUAAUUAACCCAACCGGCAGAAGAAUUCCCCUAAGAAAUGACUUAUCCUCACAGCUAACUGAAGAGAAACCUUGGAAACCUUUAGUUGCAGAAGACUGAUUUCUCCUGCAAGGGCUUCUGCAGUUUGCAGUUUGAUUAUGCUCUCGGCUGUGCUUCUGAGCACGCUGCCUUUUUCCUUUUCUUCUCUCCCUUGCUAGAGCUGUAGCUUCCAGACACGCGUUUUCGCCUGGGACAAGCCUAGCCCACAGCAUCUGGAGGAGAAAUUUAUGCCUGCAGUAUCUGAUCCUGCAUUUGUGCACUCUCAGAAGAAUUUAGAAGCCGAAGUUAAUAAAUAGCUUUCCAAAUACAGCAUUUUAGCUUCCGAUUCGUUGGCAGGCGUAGUUAGCAUAGAUAGCAUCUAUAAUCCAUAGGAAACUACCAACCUCCUCAGCACUGCUCCCCAGUGGGAUAAAUGCACCGUGACUGGGAGGUGGGACGCAGCCCCUGGGGCAUGGCCGAGCUCUGUUAGCAGGUGUGAUGCAAACCUGGGUCUCACCUCCCCCAGACCAACCAAACCAAAUUCACGUCUUUCCCCUUCUGUACACCACAAGCUACCCCUUCCAUCUCCAUCCUAUCUGUUUAACAGCCCGGGAACCACUCCUUUUGCCACACUCCCAUCCUCUCUCUUUUUUUUUUCAGGGUCCUAUUAAAGCCAACCCCACGUCUGAGUAACGGUCAAUAAACUCCACACGGUUCCAACCCAAGGGAAUGGGAUGCUUGGCAACUCUGCCACCCAAAUCCCAUUUCCCCACAAUUGCAAUCUUCUGUCCUCUGUUCAUUUAUUACUCUCUGCCUGGCCUCUAGGGGCAACGCAGUUUUGCGAUGGAAUAACUCAGCCAUAUCUUUCUGCAGAAAUGCCUACAAACGAGCCUCUCUGUUAUCACAACACCACCACCAAAAAAGCUUAUUAUCAGCAAUAAUCUACACCCUGGCCUUGGUUAGUACACAAGAGCCAUUUGUUUGCAAACAGAGAAUAUUUACAUAUGACAUACUCGUUUGAUGGUAAUCCUAAACCCUUCUCUAUCAUCUCAGUCCUACCCGUGCAUGGCUGUUGUACCUUGCUUCGGGCUGGUUAUUCUCUCAUCUUUUGCACACUAGAAGCUGCACACCGGGGAGACUUUCAUCUGGCACUGUAAUGAGAGCGAUGCUGAUUUUGUUCUUUGACAUCCCUAAAGAUCCCCCUUGACAAUCUCAUGUGUGCUAAUGCAACGAACCUCUGAUCUGUCUUUGGGAUGAGUCUCAGCUUAGUGUCUGGGGUAUUAUUCAGCCCAUCGGCACCGUGCCUGCAUACCUUACAAAAGUCAUGAUGUUGGCUUGAAGAUGUCUGUAAAGAACAAGCACGCUGUUCUAUAUGGGAGGAAUUGAACCAGAGAGAUUAACAGAGCUGAAGUGACUUGCUUAACAUCGUAUAGAAAAAUCUGUAGUAGAGCCAGAACAUCCACGCAAUUACGUUCCAGCCCAGUGCUCUGAUUUUUCAUACCUCCCUAUUUCCAUCAGUACAGCUAUUUACAGCCGGAGGAUUACACUGCCAUAUGAGCCUGUGAAACCGAAAACAGUUUUCAUUUCUAUUCUUCAAAAGUUGUUUAACUCCAAGCAGUCCAUUUAUAUCAGAAAUAGUUACGUACCGGCUGGACUCAGACGUACCCAAGUUCCCAAUAAAUGAUUUACAGCAUAAGAACAUUAAGGAGAGGACUAAGCCAUUCAAUACCCACUGGUGCCUUAUAAUGAUCCGACCAGCUGAGCCUCUCCUAUUCUUUUCUAAUGCAGCAAUAGUAAACAAGUGGUUUCCCAUCUAUGCUGAAAUGAGGUUUCACCACGGCUUUAUGGCCUCAGAAAGUCAAGUUGCAACACAAGAGGUGACACCACCAGGCUGGACAAACCCUUGCCUGCCUUCUGUAUUUAUCUAUUCAUUUGUUAUAAUUCCAGAAAUAUAGGCUACCUAAGACAUGAGAUUUAAUUCCUGGCAUGCUGUAAUGAUGUGUUUCUGCUGAAGGUGUUGGCUCCGCACUUUAUAAAUCUCCAUGAAGUACAGCAGAGAAGACCUUAUUACAUAUUUUUCAUCUUUAAAAAGAUUAAUGUGCAGCUUGUUACACCUACUGCUGAAACGUUUGUUUCUGUGGUUAUUGGAACAAAUGGGCUACAUCUGGGCCACGAGCACUCAGCAGCAAGCACACCAAAUGCUCACAUUAAUAAUUCCUCCUCGGAUAAAUGCAGAUAAGCUAAAGCAGACAGGAACCCUGCCCCCCAAAUCACUCCAGACUCAGAUACAGAUCCAUACAGCCCUACACCACAGGAUGUCACUGACACCAAAAGUUUGGUAGGAAGCGGGUGCUCACACGAGAACACAAACCACUGCUGUGGGGAAUGGCUUUGGACCGGAUAACAAAAGGAUGCAAACGCUCCUCACCACACAGGUUCAAAUGGAGCACUGCUUGCAUCGGGAAGAAACAUCUCCUGUCAACAAACCGUCUCACAGCCACUAUUCUUAGCAGUUCAUUCCUCUUUCUUCUCGAUAAGUCCCUAUUAUCUACUUGUGGAAAACAGGCUGCCAAGCACACUGGACUUCUGAUCCAAUAUUACAACUCUUUGUUCCUCGCGCAGCUCUGCAGGAAGGGGUCACCCCGGGGCAGAUCCAUACAGGUGUUCGCUCUUUUCAUCUGAGGGCUGUAGACAGCAGUAUCACUUCCUGCAUCGCCUCCACCUCUUUCAUCUCCGUACCUGUGCUCAGCAGCUCGUUGCACAAUCUAUAGAGUCAGAGGCACGAGAUUAAGCACAAGGAAUCCUUGCGCCUCGUUUGCUUGUGCAGCGAGCGCCUUUGUGCAGUGAGCGCCUGUGCUCGGCCCAGCAGUGGGGACGGUUGCAGCAGCACACCUUGCUGGAAUUACUAAAUUCUGGGCAGAUGGGCGAGUCCACUCCAUGGGAGGCUGAUAUGUGAAACUCAGCCGUGUUUGCGAGAGCAAAGUUCAGCUCAAGGCACCACCUGUCAGGUCAGGAAUAGGAGUCAUAGCAGGAGGAACCUUCCAUGUCUUAACAAGUUAAGCAAGCAAAGGAGGAGGGGAGAAGCGCGUUGCUCUUUACAGCGGCACAAUAACCUGGAGGGACAGCUUGCAUGCAGCCAAACGCUGCAGCUAAAACACGUUCUGCCAGUGGUGGUGUGUAAGGUCACAGGUACGUUUCACUGUUUCCUUACUGCUCCAGAGAUGACCCAAGCGGUGGGCAGGCGAGUCGGGCUAACGUGAGUUUGUUUGAACACGGAAAGAAAGUUUUACCAUCUUGCAAUCCUUACCUUCUGUUUGCCCCCUCUUUGUAAACACACUAACUUAAGGCCAACCGUCCAAUCUGCCGGGCUUAAAUUACGCUUCCGCGGGGCACAAGCUGGUGAAGGAGGGAAAGGUAAGGCAUCCUCCCUGCCCUACCCUGUAUACAAGCAUAAAAACCUUACCCUGGCACCGAACAGAGCCCCAUAGGCUCUUCCUUUGAUCACUUCAAGGGGCCCCGUCUGCAGCGUUGUGGUGGGUAUCCCUGGUGUAACCAGUUUGUUAACAGCCAGAAGAAGCUUUCUGGCUCCAGUCAAAGCAAACAGAGGAAAACCAGGAGCCUACUGACAGUGAACUUCAAACGAUGCUAGACCCAGGUUUGCUCACCUUCCACAUAGUCAGUUCAACGCGUGAAUUUUGAGCAUCAAACUUUAAAAGCCUUCCUCAAAGCCUUGCUUGGGGAGACGCUGAGCAGCAUCUCUCGCCAAACUCAGUUCCCUUCUUUUCUAUCACCAGAAUGUCAGCCCUGUGUCUACCCUGAAGCCUUUUCUGUGGUCAUCCACCCAACUUCAUCCUCCCCCAGGGGGAAAGCGGAAGGGGUCCCUGUGUUCGUGUGUGAGGAUCUGAAUGUUUCUGUCUUUCCUUCUGGCAGUUACCUGCCCCUCCUUGCUGCCUAUUAUCCAGCACAGCAGCCUGGCACCUGGGUUUGCCCGGACUCCCAUCUGCCUAUUCAUCAUUUGGCCACAGUUGAAUGAAAAGAAGAAGAAAAAAAGGGAGGAGGGGUAAAAAAAAAAGGAGGGAAAACAAAGUCUUUCAUCUUCAUAGCAGCAAGAUUUCAGAUCUAAAGAGCUGGGACUCUCAGCUGCUUUAAAUUGAGGGUUAUGGCUGCCAACUGCCAAUCUGAAGCUGCAUAUUACCUUUCAUCCAGUCCUGCGUUGUUCAGGCCAUAGCUUUUCUUGCCUUUUGUUUCCUCUCGGAUCGGUUAAGUGGAAGCAGGUGUUCUCCUGCCCUGCUAAUCUCUAGUACAUUCAGGCAGGCCCAGCAACUGGGCAGGUAAAUGGAGCCCAGCACUGGUGGGCACGGCAAUGUCUCCGCAAGCAGCCCUGACAAAUGUUCUCCCUUCUGAGUGCACUUCCAUUUUGCGUUGUCUCCGUCAUCGCUCUUCCUCUUCACAUGGACCUUUGCUCUGAAAAUAUGGAUUUAUAGAACCAAGUGAGAUUGUGAGCUGCUCAAGUGGACAGGCCACGUCUGGCAAGGCGGGGUGAGCCUGCAAGAGGGCACGUGGACAUACCCCAGUACCAUGGUCUGAAUGCAGGCAACAGCUGCAAAUCCCAUGCUACUACUGGAAGGAUGGACUGACUUCCUCAAAGACUAUAGCAUGUAUUAUAGGUAAAGGGAGGCUGAGAGAAAACUCAGCUAAGAUCACACGAGGAGGAAGAAUGGCUCACACACUAUUUGUCUAUACAUGCCUAUCAAGAAUUAGCAGCAGCAGCCAAGCUCUCUCUUCCAGCUGUCACAGUCCAGCAAAGAAACUCUGAACAUUGAUCUGGUUUCCUUCUCCUCACCCACAGACUAUCUUUUCAUUAGAGCAAACAGUAUUUCUUUUCCCUUUGGACCAGCUUAAUAUGUAAUCAGGAACCUAUUGGGCAACCAAGUGGCACCGUCAACAUCUCUGCCCACACAGAGACGGUUUCCAUUCCAAUAUACGCUUGCUGGUUCAGACAGCAGUCACAGAAGGAGCAGAUCUUUCCUAAUUGCAUCGCGUGACAGUGCAAAUAGAGCCCUGACUUCACCACCGCCUCGUGCCAGGAGUGAGCGCUACCAGGAGAGUCAGCACCUUCCUCCUGCUCGUGUGCUGCCUCCCAAGCAAGCUCGCUGUGCAGAGCUGGUGGCAUGCAGGCUUCUGAAUCAUCAGCCCAUGGUAUGGCUCCAUGACUAAGCGUCUCCCUCCCAUUGGGCUUCCAUUACGUGUUGCAACAGCUUUGCAUGUACCUGCUUUCUCGAAACCCUCCACCUGGCAAGCUGAUGAAUCCAUGGAGGAAAACUGAUGCGGCAGCAACGUCGCCACAUCCCCAGCACAGCACCAUGUUGCUUGAUCCUCCAUCAGCCUACAGACAGUACAAAGAAAAGAAAUGGUUAAAGACACACAGUUCACUGCAGCCCAAUUUUAACGUUUCUAUAUUAAGUAAAUAAAGUCAACAUAAAAUUCAGGUCAGGAACUAUUUGUUCAGGGUCAGGUGACUUCAACUCAGCUAAUCAGGGAGACACACCUUUCCUUUUGAACAAUCUUCCACUUGAGAUCUGCAGUUAAAAACAGGUUUGCUGCAGAUCAAGUCAGUGAACUGCAGCACAAGUACCCACAAAAGUAGAACAAUGGGCAUAAUUUUCACUCCCAAGAGCACGCAAGCUCCGGAUUACAGCAAGAGCAGAGGGGGCAGAAUCUUGCAACUCAGAGCUGACUGCAAGACCCGAAACGUACCAAAAACACCCUAAAAAGCUGCAUAUUGUUAGGAUCAGUGGGGAAAAAAACCCACCCACCUGAAAUCUUACUUUGAACAAAGUUGGCUACGUUAUUACACUCAAACCUGCUCACGCCAAGGUCUGCAGGAGUUUGGUUGUUGACUUUAGGGAAUCACGUCUAGGGAUGACUAACUUGGGUACAUCUUAGGCUGGCCACUUCCUUCCCUGCACACAGCAGUUUGGUCCGUGGCCGUGGCAUUGCUCAAUCCCUCAUAGCUUUUUUUCCAUGUCUUUCCCAUGAAGUUCAAAGCCUUGUUGCACCUUCCUCGCCGAAGUUUCCUCGGACCACACGGAGAAGCUCUCUCCUCUGUUUGAGGCAGCUCUGAACGUGCAGGAAGGGCCCUGGCAGCUGCACUGAGAUGGGUCCUCAAUGAGUCUGCCAAGCUGGGUUCUGAGAAGUUGCUUGCUCUUUUUCCCUGUUCAAAUAACUGCGGAUAAGCAAACGUCCUGGGCACAGUUGAGCCUCGAUUCACACCCACAAAACAGAUGGCUGUCAUCGAUAAGAAAUUCCCUGUAUUUCCUACCUGCCGAGAGGAAAAAUGAACCCAUCUCUUAAAGACGGGGUCCUUGAGGAUUAUCUCUGAGCUGCUGGUCUAUGUUGCCAGGAUUCUGGCCAUGCUGCUUUCACAUGCCAAGCCACAGCAGAAGGCGAUGCCUGCAUCACACUUAGACGUGCCUGCAGAGCUGCUGCUGUUUGCCUGCAUGGCAGGAAUACCUGCUCCAAACUCUGCAGCACCAGGUGCAGAACCCAGCCACAUUACCUGAAAGAAACACACCUCCCUCCUGUCCCCUUGCAACGAUUACACAACUGAGCGAUCUCAAAGCUCCGACCCUGCAAUUUGUAACGAUGAUAAAAUGAUGCAGCAAAAGAAGCAAAACCUCAUCUAAUUUCUGGCUUGAUGCGUGCAACCAUCUCCUCUGACACAGAAAUCCGUGCAGUGCUGAACAAACACACCGCCUUCCUGAGCAGCUUUAAACCUCUUGUUUCCUGGUGUGCUUUCACUCAGGUCUGAUACAACAGGCUGCUGUUUAAAACAACAGACCACUGCGUAGCGAAAACAGACCUAACACCCUGACCUACCUCCUGUUUUGAUCAGCAAAAAUCAGCUGCAUUCAGUCCUCACUGCUAAGAAACGCUUUAAAACUGAAGAAAUCCGAACAGCCUCCCGUGCCUUAUUGGACAGGCGACUCUGCUGCUUUGUUUUGUGCAAAUUAUUUCUCUGGGUUGGGCUGGAUAUGCACAUGGAUUGUUUGAUUACCGGUCCGGGGUGAAGAAAGGUGCUGUCAUGCUGAGCUGGGGUUUGCGUGGCGAGGUCAGGAGGGCUCCACGAGAGCCACGUUGGGAUUUUCCUAGAGCCACGAGAGCUGAGCAGACCUUAUCCUUCUCAUCUGCAGAAGCUGCAGCACUCACCUGCAUGCUGAGGUGGAGGUCAGUGCAGAUCCACGUCCAUGGAGUCAUCUUGGUUGGGCAAGCAGCCACAGAGCAGCCGUCAUCAGAAAGGGAACCCUCAGAGCGGGGCAGAGAAAUUGGCCUUGGGAAUGGAGUCUUCAUCAUGGAAGUGGGAUGCAGGGGGUAUUUCAAAGCCAAUUCGCUAGUGCCACACAACAGCAGUCAAAAAGCGUCUGUAAAAAUGAGAUGACCUCAUGAGCUCGGCCAAUCUCUAAACAACAUUAGUCUGUGAGCAUGCAGAGCAGAGAUGGUGUCUGGAGGGGUCAGUCGCAGGUCACCUUGCCGAGCAACGCAAACCUGUUUGGCUCCGAGCAUCCCACUGCUGUGGCAGUGCCCGGCUCAGCAUCACCGCGUGCUGCCACUCUGUGCCCAGGGACCAGCUGUGCGUCAGUCCAAGGGCCCCGCUGCCAAAUCCCUUUUCUUGUGUGACACAGGCAGAGGUUUUAUGCUGCAAAUACUUGGGAACACCAAGCACUGCUGGUGUGGCCGGUGCUGAACUUUGUUGAGAUUCUGAUGUGAGUUUCGAUCUGAACCUGUCCAUAAUGUAAAGAUGGAGAUGGGAGAGGGCCUCUCUUUCCUUAGAAACCCUGGUUACCUGCUGCUACCCACACUGUUGGCAACAGCAUCUGUUUCAAUAGGUAAAGCAGGCUUAGGUAAGUCCAACCGAUUCUGGAAUCCUGAGAGGGUUCCUGAGAUAUGGACUAACUCCAAAAACACAGGAAUGGAUGAUCAAUAAUCUGGAACAUUUAUCUUUGACACAGACUUGCCUGCUGACACGGAGCUGCAUUAGCAAGGCAGCAAUACAGUGGGACAAGCAUGCUACCUGAUAGGAUGCCUUUUAGAUCUGUUUUAUACAGUUUUUAGGCGGGUUGGAUAUUAGGAAGAAUUUCUUCUCUGAAGGAGUAGUGAUGCGUUGGCACAGGCUGCCCAGGGAGGGGGGGAGUCACUGUUGUGGAGGUGUCUAAGGGAAGGGUGGGCAUAAUAUGAGGGACAGGGUUUGGUGGGCAGUACUGACAGUAGGUGGACGGUUGGAUUGGUUGAUGUUCAGAGGUCCUUUCCAACCUCAUUGAUCCCAUAAUUCUGUAGGGGUAAGAGGUAUCCAGCCUUGUCCUCAGAGAAGGGGUCAAAUAAGAAAGUCAAGAAAGAAGACCAAAAUGUAGUGUGGAUGAUUGCCUGCAGGAAGAGAGCAUGCACUACAGCACUGCAGUUCUGCAUGAGCUCCUGGAACCAACACAGCCAGCAAUGAGUGAUCAGAAUGCCAUUUCUGGAGCAGAGAUCAACUUUGCAUGGAUCAUUCAAAUGAGGAAACCAAGCGGCGCUUCACUGACUGCAAACAUUUGAAUGCCAAAUAGCAGAAACAAUAAAAACACAAAAUAACUUCUCCAACCUGAUAGAUGUCAGGAAAUCAUAGACUUUACAAACUGCACGUUCAGUAUUAGGGGUGUGCUUAGCAAAGUGACACUUCUCAGCUCUCCAGUGGUAGACCGAUGCUGAUCUUUCUUUCCCAUAGAAACAAUCCAUUAUUAUAAAGGAAAUGGUACAUCGGUUGUAUGAAUCUCAGAUGCCAGCCUGUCCCAAAGGUGUUACACUGAAGGAAAACUUGACCUAUUUUUCUCGUAACACAGAUUUGUCAUUCCAGGAACCUUCAAUGUAGUGAUUUGGGAAACAAAUUGUCCUUGUGUCUCCAUUGUCGGUGUGGUCCUACACUGCACUGGAAGCCACUGCCUUGGAGAUGGCUGCAGAAACUACAGUGGCCCUUUGUCUGCCAAUAUGGAAAAUCCCUUCACAGAGAGAAAUGCAUCCACAGUCUCCAAAGGCGCAGCUUUAGACUGACUAUGUUAAAGUAACCUAAGAAACACGAGCACGCCCAACCACAAAAUGAAGAAAAAUUAAAAUGCAGAUAGUUCACAGGGAUUGUCUGAACACAGCAUUAAGCCUGGAGAUGAAAGAUGCUAGAGCAGCACAGAGCAGUGCUGUUGUACAGCGAGCUUCGCUUGACGGCGCCAUCAAGGAUAGGGAUAGGGAGGGGAAGAAAGGGAAAUAAGAGUUUUGCACAAAGCCAAAAGGAGGCAAAACGUGCCUUGGUGACAGCUGGCACUGCAUGCAGAAUGAGAGGUCGGGAGGCAGCAGCAGCAGUGCUGGCAGGAGAUCUGUGCUCAGCGCAGGAAAUGCUUUUUUGAACGGAUCCUAAUUACGGCCCUUCUCUCCCCAUCUAUCCUGUGUCGUGCUGUAAUUACAGGAACAAAGCUGGGAAAGGGGCUGUUUCUCGAGGAAGGAGUUGUGAAGCAGGCACACGAGAGCAAGGUCCAAGACGUUUGCAGGCAGUGGGAGCUGUGCCCACGUGUUUGGAGCUGAGAGAGGAAAACAGAGAAAUAAAGGAGCAGGGAAAACAGUGCCGUCCUGCACCACCUCCAUGGAUUUUGCUUUUUUAGAUGUUUUUAAAGCUGUUUGUGGCUCAUUUCUCCCUCUAAGUCAGAGGCAAUGGAAGGGUCAGAGGCAGGAGAAGGAGAACACGAGCCACUCCAUUGCUCCUUAGGCGCACCUACAGAAGCCUAAAUGCACCGAGUUCGGAUUCUUCAAGCAUUUCUUCAGGCUCGCCCUCCAUCUACCUCCAGUGACAGGUUGGAUUCUGACAGCGUCCCCACAGAGAUGGGAAAGAAUACUGCACAGUCCACAGGAAUAAAGCUUGGAGGCCCCCGGUGCUGCACCGCUCCUCCGCAGGCAGCAUCCCUCCUCAAAGCUGCCUAUCACAGACCCCGGGGAUGAUCCCAGCAGCUGCCAUACGUUCCAUUUCCAAAUCACUCCCCGCUUUCCUUUCUACGAGGCUGACGAUUGCCCCUCCAGAUUUUUUGCUGGGAUCCCAAAGUUGCGUUAAGUCCCAGUCCCCCUCUCCCACUCCUAGCAACACUGCUCCUGUGUUCGGUUUCACCUGCAGUAAUUGGUCCCUGAAGGGCAAGAGGUGACAGGAGCUUGUGCUGCAUUGCAAGGUGUGGGAAUGGAGGAAAUUAACACCGUCUCUGUUUUUCCAUCCCAGUGAAUAAUGUGAUUACUGAGGAGGGGAGAAGGGCUGAGCCUUACAUCAGCUGUCAGGUGGGGUUAAACCUUUUUUUCCCUUUCUUUUAAAGCAAGCAGAUGGGGAGACCAUUACGUUCACAGCCUGCCCCGUACGAGCACACCUCACAGCAGCUUUUGCCAACGAGAGAGUUAAAUAAAAUGCUUCUUAAGUCAUCAGCACCGCCAUGUGAAAAGAACUAAAAAUAAAAGAUCUAGGGAAAAGGAAGGCAGAGCACAACCACAAGUGAUGCCGGCAUGCCAGAACAGGCUGCUCUGGACAUUAGCUUCAAUUGUGAGCUCAAUAAAACAGCAGGACUGAAGCGAUCAGUCGUAACGCAUCUCUGUUUUUUUUUUAGCUCUCAAAUGAUUUACCACUUCCACAUCAUCCUCAUUGAUUGAGGCACAAAGCAGGCUCUAGGAAAUUCGCUAGCCAGGAAAAAUAGCAGACAUGUAGACCAAGGUCAGUCUGCUCAUAGGCCAGGUGAAGAGAUGUAGCUUGUUUUCAUCUAAAUCUGAUUUUGGUGCUGGAUGCUGCUAUAAAGUUUUACAGAAAAAUGAAUUCUGCUCAUUUCCUGUGUUUCUCCUCUAGCUGGAUGGUAUCCGUGGAGCCCAGCCCUUUGGUUCUUGGAGCCCACUCAGUUUUAAUUGGGAUGAAAAAGGCUUGCCUGAAAGCUGCUAUUUUUCCUGCAGGACACGGUUCCUUUGGACAGGAGGUCGCAUGCUGCUGCCCUUCAGUCCCAACACGCUGCUGCUGGCAGCACAGACAGACCUGUGGUGCUUGGGGUGCAAUUGCCGUCUGCGUGUCUGGGCAGACCGCGCUCAGCUGCGGCUGUGCAGUGUGAACCCAGGGGAAGUGCGAGGGGAAGAGAAACUUCCUUUCCCUUGCUGUCAGCUUGCUAACACCCAGCAGGACAAGGAGAGAUUUUCACUGGACCCUACUGGGAACGUUUGGUGCUGUCUGGCAGCUGUUUGGGUGAUGGAGAGACUCUGAAUUUCCUGCUUUACCUUCCAGCUCCGAACAAAGCGCUCUCUAUGUAAAAGGAGCCUCGCUGCCGGCGAAGCAGCUAGUUCCAACACGUCCCUUUCCCUCCUGGCACCCUCCACGUAGCCCCCACAGAAGGGGCAGGGAGUGCAGUUCCCAGCACACCUGAGUCACCCCUCGCUGAGCGCCGGCAGGAAGGGGUGGUGGCAGCUGGGAAGCUCCCGUGAGUCACCAACCAACAGCCGCACGGAGAGGAACUUGGCACCGUGCUCUGCGCUCUUACUCCUCCCGUCGGACUUCUUGCUGAAGGCUGGCCGCUGGGGGAGGAAAGGAUCAUUACAGUGAAAGCUAGUGCAGUAAAGGAAAGGAGGAAGAGUAGGAGCAAAAACGCCUUCUUGCCACCCAGCUGCACGAAAUCAGAUUUUGGCAGUUCUCCUCAAGCUGUUUUAUGGUUCCCAGCGUAAGUACUCUUAGUGCGAGGCUGCGGUUUUAAGCUUGGGUACAAGCGUGCAAAGGCAUAGCCUUCACUGACCCGGUGGGACAUCUCCAAUCUCCUUGUGACUCCCCACACUACCAAUUUUCUCCUGCGUUUUCAGGACCAUGAAAGCAUCUUCUUAGCUUUUGUUUUCCCCCCUUUUAUUGGCACCACGACUUACACAGCACGCCUCCUGCUAGCGUCUCCCACAGCUCCCUUUUUGCCACCCCCCUCCCUACCUCAAGCAAACUCAGAAGAGCACAGCGUCCAUUCAGGAUAACAAUCUUAGUCAUUGCAAUGGCAGGUGACGAAAAGCUCUUCUAAACAAUGCUGGAAAUGAGUGUGAAGGUCUACUUAGGUCACCAUCCUUAGGUCACCACACUUCCUAUCUGCUCCAGCAUGAAGCAGUAUUGAAGCAGAUGGAGCGUCACGAGCACAGGGUGCUCAGCCUUCACGCUGCAGGCCCCGGGUUUGCAGGCUAAACACGAACACGUGUCUGUGAGUCUUUAGAAAUGAUAGGAAGAUAUUAGCACAGUGAAGAGAGUGAAACUGCCAUAGCCAGGGUUUGCGGCCCAAAUUUGCUGUCGGUUGUUUCUUUGUUUUGUGUAUAUGUGUAUAUACAAAAGGAUGUAAGGGAAGAAAAAGCUCCACAGGUCAUGCUCUUCCACUGAUACUUCAAGAUUCGUGGAGCUCAGAAGCUCGAAAGGUUGGGAUGAACAGCUUCUUUUUGCUUGCACUAUUUAAGAUGAGAGUGACUGUUUUCACUCAUUGAUUUGUUUAGCACUGUUGUGAUCGGGCUUACCAACAUUCCUCUGCAUAUGAAAUGUACAAAAGACCUCACCAAGACGUGAAUGAUGAAGAAAACUACGACUGGCCAGGAAUUUUGGCUCGAGACCUUUCCAAGCAGAAGGCAGAUCUGGAAUACCCUGAACUAGCCACUUAGAUAUUGCAAAGCCAGGUGCACGACCCUGCCCUGCGCUGCACGGCGCUCUGUAAGGGAAUCCUGGCCUUGACUCACCGCUGAGAAAUGUUCACAGACCACAGAGGAGAGCAAAACCUUUGGGGGUGGAGACGUGCCGCUGCCGCUGCAGAGCGCCGAGCACACGUGCCCUGCUGUAGGUGAGCGGUGUGGGGUGCCCUGG